rnacentral:rRNA from 1 species
GACGAACGCUGGCGGCGUGGAUUAGGCAUGCAAGUCGAGCGACGGCCCCUCGGGGUACGGAGCGGCGAACGGGUGAGUAACACGUGAACAACCUGUCCCUACAUUCCGGAUAAUUGGCCGAAAGGCCUUGUAAUACGGGCGAGGAUCUCUGGAAGGCAUCUUUUGGAGAGGGAACACGCAAGGUAACUUGUGUGGUGCGGGGAGGGGUUCGCGUCCUAUCAGGUAGUUGGCGGGGUAACGGCCCACCAAGCCGACGACGGGUAGCUGGUCUGAGAGGAUGGUCAGCCACAUUGGAACUGAGACACUGUCCAGACUCCUACGGGAGGCUGCAGUCGAUAAUCUUGCACAAUGCACGAAAGUGUGAUGCAGCGACGCCGCGUGGAGGAAGAAGGCCCUUGGGUCGUACACUCCUUUUGUUGGGGAAGAAUCCAUGACGGUACCCAGCGAAUAAGCCACGGCUAACUACGUGCCACCAGCCGCGGUAAUACGUAGGUGGCAAGCGUUGUCCGGAUUUACUGGGUGUAAAGGGGGCGCACGCGGGCCUUUAAGUAGGAAGUGAAAGGUUGGAGCUCAACUCCGACACUGCUCCCUAUACUGGAGGCCUUGAGUCUCGGAGAGGAAAGCGGAACGACCCGUGUAGCGGUGAAAUGCGUUGAUAUGUGGCGGAACACCAAUGGCGAAAGCUUCUUUCUGGACGAGUACUGACGCUCAGGCACGAAAGCCAAGGUAGCAAACAGGAUUAGAUACCCUGGUAGUCUUGGCCAUAAACGAUGAUCACUAGGUGUCGGGGGUCUCCUCGGUGCCGCAGCUAACGCAUUAAGUGAUCCACCUGGGGACUACGGCCGCAAGGUUGAAACUCAAAGGAAUUGGCGGGGGCCCGCACAAGCGGUGGAGCAUGUGGCUUAAUUCGAUGCAACGCGAAGAACCUUACCCAGGCUUGACAUGCACCUGCAAGCUCCCGAAACGGAGUCGCCCUCGAGGGUGGUGCACAGGUGGUGCAUGGCUGUCGUCAGCUCGUGUUGUGAAAUGUUGGGUUAAGUCCCGCAACGAGCGCAACCCUCACGUUUUGUUACCAGCGGAUAAUGCCGGGGACUCGAGACGAACUGCCCCUGUAAAGAGGAGGAAGGUGGGGAUGACGUCAAGUCAUCAUGCCCCUUACGCCUGGGGCUGCACACAUGCUACAAUGGCCGGUACAAAGGGUUGCUAACCUGCGAAGGGGUGCUAAUCUCAAAAAGCCGGUCUCAGUUCGGAUUGGGGUCUGCAACUCGACCCCAUGAAGCUGGAAUCGCUAGUAAACGCCGGUCAGCCAUACGGCGUUGAAUACGUUCCCGGGCCU